UCAGGUCUUAAAAAGAAAAAAAAAAGGUAAAAAAAAAAAAAAAGCCACUUAAUUUUUCGUGGCUUCUUUAUUUAUCAGAAACUUAGCAAACGGCAAGCGAGAAGAAGAAGAAGAAGCAUGAAUAAUAGCUUAGCAACGACGAGCGUAACAGCUCGAAUGUCCCCAACAAUACCACACCCCCACCAUUUUCGCCAAACCCCAAGUCGUAUCUUCUUCCUUCGACCCUCUCUUUCUCGCAGCACUACUCCAAGAAUCGUUUGCAUGGCGGAGCCAUAUUUGAUAACCAAGCUGGAAUCUGCUGAGAAGACUUGGAAAGAAUUGUCCGUGAAGCUGGGUGACCCAGAUGUUGUUUCAAAUCCCAGUGAAUAUCAAAAGCUGGCUCAGUCUGUGGCUGAGCUUGACGAGGUAUAUCCCAUUUCUCUUCUCUCUUUU